GACUCCAUGAAGUCGGAAUCGCUAGUAAUCGUGGAUCAGAAUGCCACGGUGAAUACGUUCCCGGGCCUUGUACACACCGCCCGUCACACCAUGGGAGUGAGUUGCAAAAGAAGUAGGUAGCUUAACCUUCGGGAGGGCGCUUACCACUUUGUGAUUCAUGACUGGGGUGAAGUCGUAACAAGGUAACCGUAGGGGAACCUGCGGUUGGAUCACCUCCUUA
rnacentral:rRNA from 1 species